UGGGGAAUUUUGCACAAUGGGGGAAACCCUGAUGCAGCGACGCCGCGUGAUUUAGAAGGCCUUCGGGUUGUAAAAAUCUUUUCUAUGGGAAGAAAAUGACAGUACCAUAGGAAUAAGGACCGGCUAAUUACGUGCCAGCAGCCGCGGUAAUACGUAAGGUCCGAGCGUUGUCCGGAAUCAUUGGGCGUAAAGGGUACGUAGGCGGGUAAGCAAGUUAGAAGUGAAAUCCUGUAGCUCAACGACAGUAAGCUUUUAAAACUGCUCAUCUUGAGAUAUGGAAGGGAAAGGGUAAUUCCUAGUGUAGCGGGGAAAUGCGCAGCUAUUAGGAGGAAUACCGGUGGCGAAGGCGACUUUCUGGCCAUAAUCUGACGCUGAGGUACGAAAGCGUGGGUAGCAAACAGG
rnacentral:rRNA from 1 species